rnacentral:rRNA from 1 species
UACGUAGGGGGCAAGCGUUGUCCGGAAUCAUUGGGCGUAAAGAGCGUGUAGGCGGCCAGAUAAGUCCGCUGUGAAAUCUCGAGGCUCAACUUCGAGCUGUCGGUGGAAACUGUCUGGCUAGAGUCCGGAAGAGGAGAAUGGAAUUCCUGGUGUAGCGGUGAAAUGCGCAGAUAUCAGGAGGAACACCGGUGGCGAAGGCGGGUCUCUGGGCCGAUACUGACGCUGAGGAGCGAAAGCGUGGGGAGCGAACGGG